CUGGUAUUCCCAGGCGGUCUCCCAUCCAAGUACUAACCAGGCCCGACUCUGUUUAGCU
rnacentral:rRNA from 1 species